rnacentral:rRNA from 1 species
UACGGAGGGGGCAAGCGUUGUUCGGAAUCACUGGGCUUAAAGGGCGCGUAGGCGGCCGGGUUGGUCGUGGGUGAAAUCCCCCAGCUUAACUGGGGAACUGCCUACGAUACUGCCUGGCUCGAGGGAGGAAGGGGCGGUCGGAACUGUCGGUGGAGCGGUGAAAUGCGUUGAUAUCGACAGGAACGCCGGUGGCGAAAGCGGACCGCUGGCCCUCUUCUGACGCUGAGGCGCGAAAGCCAGGGGAGCGAACGGG